ACAGCAGCAGCCGCGGUAAUACGAAGGGUGCAAGCGUUAAUCGGAAUUACUGGGCGUAAAGCGUGCGUAGGCGGUGAGUUAAGUCUGCUGUGAAAUCCCCGGGCUCAACCUGGGAAUGGCAGUGGAUACUGGCAAGCUAGAGUGUGUCAGAGGAUGGUGGAAUUCCCGGUGUAGCGGUGAAAUGCGUAGAGAUCGGGAGGAACAUCAGUGGCGAAGGCGGCCAUCUGGGACAACACUGACGCUGAGGCACGAAAGCGUGGGGAGCAAACAGGAUUAGAUACCCCGGUAGUCCCUGUCUCUUAUAC
rnacentral:rRNA from 1 species